rnacentral:rRNA from 1 species
AAAGGCGUAGGCGAUGGACAACAGGUUGAUAUUCCUGUACCACCUCUUUAUCGUUUGAGCAAUGGGGGGACGCAGGAGGAUAGGGUAAGCGCGCUGUUGGAUAUGCGCGUCUAAGCAGUUAGGCUGAGAAGUAGGCAAAUCCGCUUCUCGCAUAAGGCUGAGCUGUGAUAGCGAGGGAAAUUUAGUACCGAAGUUCCUGAUUCCACACUGCCAAGAAAAGCCUCUAGCGAGAUAAAAGGUGCCCGUACCGCAAACCGACACAGGUAGGCGAGGAGAGAAUCCUAAGGUGAGCGAGAGAACGCAAAUCCGCUUCUCG